rnacentral:rRNA from 1 species
UGAGUGACACGUAUCCAACCUGCCGUCUACUCUUGGCCAGCCUUCUGAAAGGAAGAUUAAUCCAGGAUGGCAUCAUGAGUUCACAUGUCCGCAUGAUUAAAGGUAUUUUCCGGUAGACGAUGGGGAUGCGUUCCAUUAGAUAGUAGGCGGGGUAACGGCCCACCUAGUCAACGAUGGAUAGGGGUUCUGAGAGGAAGGUCCCCCACAUUGGAACUGAGACACGGUCCAA